rnacentral:rRNA from 1 species
UACGUAGGGGGCAAGCGUUGUCCGGAUUUAUUGGGCGUAAAGAGCGUGUAGGCGGCUUUGCAAGUCCGUUGUGAAAACUCGAGGCUCAACCUCGAGACGCCGGUGGAAACUGCAAAGCUAGAGUCCGGAAGAGGAGAGUGGAAUUCCUGGUGUAGCGGUGAAAUGCGCAGAUAUCAGGAAGACAUCGGUGGCGAAGGCGACUCUGCUGGACCAUAACUGACACUCAGGGACGAAAGCUAGGGGAGCGAAUGGG